UGCGUGUGUGGUGUUUGAGGUGUAUGAGAGAUGUUUGAAGUGGUGUAUUGCUUGAGGGUGGUUGUUUUGCUUGUAUGUGUGGUGUUUGAGGUGUGUGGGUGGUGUUCAAGUUGUGUGGUGCUCCAGGUGUUUGGUGUUUGAGGUGUGUGUGUGGAGUUUGAGGUGUGUCUGUGGUACUUGAAUGGUAUGUGUAUGGUGUUUGAGGUGUGUGUCUGGUGUUCCAGGUGUCUGUGUGGCAUUCCAGGUGUGUUUGUGUUCCAGGUGGAUUUGGUGUUCUAGGUGUGUGGGGUCCAGGUGUGUUUGGGGUCCAGGUGUGUGUGGUGCUAGAGGUAGGAGUACUGUGUGGGGUCCUUUCCUCCUCUGACUCAGGUUUCACCUCUGGAGGAUCCUGUCUGGAAGGUGUCCCUCCCUGAAUUGCUGAGGACUUCACCUUUUCAGCCUCCUGUUUAACUGUUUCAGAGGUGGCAAGAUGGGUGCUUACUCAGUCUCCCUUAACACCUGGAGGUAGUGUAGUCCCUGCCCCUCUAGGGCUGCGUGUGCUGAGGGAUUGGUCUCCUAUGCAGUGGUAUUCUGAGGUGGCUUUUGGGAAGUGAUUGGCUGUGAAGGUGCCAACUUGUAGUGAGGUGCCCCUUUGUGCUGCUGAACUGCCGCUGAGCCAUAACCCCAGUACCCACCCCACCCCCGUGUAUUUUAAAACUGACAUUUUUUUCCUUCCUCUUCUCCCUCCAACUCAGGAAGGCAAGGUUAGCCUUCCCAUCCUAGGCUGAGUUACCUAUUCUUCAGCUUACUGACCACAGAAAUGAAGGAAUCCAGACUUCAGGGCUGGCACGGAGGAUCUGAGAACAAGUCUCCAAGGCCACAUGUGAAUGAUGUCCUGAAGGGCACACCUGGAGCUUACUUUUCCCAUCCCCUCUUUAAUAGCCCACCAUUUCCUGGCAGUGAGAGUCACAGCAUCUGGGACAGGAGACCCCUCUGUGUUCUUCUUUGUUCUUUCCUUUGAAAACAAAACAAAACAAAAAA
rnacentral:lncRNA from 1 species